rnacentral:sRNA from 1 species
UGAUUUGGUAUGAGGUUUUAAUAUAAAA